rnacentral:rRNA from 1 species
UACGUAGGGAGCAAGCGUUGUCCGGAUUUACUGGGUGUAAAGGGCGUGUAGGCGGUGACGCAAGUCAGGAGUGAAAUCCCCGGGCUCAACCCGGGAACUGCCUUUGAAACUGCGUCCCUUGAGUAUCGGAGAGGCAGGCGGAAUUCCUAGUGUAGCGGUGAAAUGCGUAGAUAUUAGGAGGAACACCAGUGGCGAAGGCGGCCUGCUGGACGACAACUGACGCUGAGGCGCGAAAGCGUGGGGAGCAAACAGG